rnacentral:rRNA from 1 species
UACGAAGGGGGCUAGCGUUGCUCGGAAUCACUGGGCGUAAAGCGCACGUAGGCGGCUUUCUAAGUCAGGGGUGAAAUCCUGGAGCUCAACUCCAGAACUGCCUUUGAUACUGAAGAUCUUGAGUUCGGGAGAGGUGAGUGGAACCGCGAGUGUAGAGGUGAAAUUCGUAGAUAUUCGCAAGAACACCAGUGGCGAAGGCGGCUCACUGGCCCGAUACUGACGCUGAGGCACGAAAGCGUGGGGAGCAAACAGG